CGGCAGCACAGAGAAGCUUGCUUCUCGGGUGGCGAGUGGCGGACGGGUGAGUAAUGUCUGGGGAUCUGCCCGAUAGAGGGGGAUAACCACUGGAAACGGUGGCUAAUACCGCAUAACGUCGCAAGACCAAAGAGGGGGACCUUCGGGCCUCUCACUAUCGGAUGAACCCAGAUGGGAUUAGCUAGUAGGUGGGGUAACGGCUCACCUAGGCGACGAUCCCUAGCUGGUCUGAGAGGAUGACCAGCCACACUGGAACUGAGACACGGUCCAGACUCCUACGGGAGGCAGCAGUGGGGAAUAUUGCACAAUGGGCGCAAGCCUGAUGCAGCCAUGCCGCGUGUAUGAAGAAGGCCUUCGGGUUGUAAAGUACUUUCAGCGGGGAGGAAGGCGAUGCGGUUAAUAACCGCGUCGAUUGACGUUACCCGCAGAAGAAGCACCGGCUAACUCCGUGCCAGCAGCCGCGGUAAUACGGAGGGUGCAAGCGUUAAUCGGAAUUACUGGGCGUAAAGCGCACGCAGGCGGUCUGUUAAGUCAGAUGUGAAAUCCCCGGGCUUAACCUGGGAACUGCAUUUGAAACUGGCAGGCUUGAGUCUCGUAGAGGGGGGUAGAAUUCCAGGUGUAGCGGUGAAAUGCGUAGAGAUCUGGAGGAAUACCGGUGGCGAACGCGGCCCCCUGGACGAAGACUGACGCUC
rnacentral:rRNA from 1 species